CAUGGCACCAGUCCCAAGCCUGAGGGAACAGCAGGAUGGUGUGGCUGGGUUGGGUCCAGUCAGGCUUGUGCAAUAAUGCAGCCCUGUAAGACCAAGACAGCCAGGACUUCUAGCCAAUGCAAUAUGGAGUGGUCCAGAGUACUUAGAAGUCACUCUAGGUGACAGCGUACCCUGAAAGAUGGGGAAACUUCAUCAAGAAAAAAUGCAAAACCAGCAUAAGGAAGAUGUAAUUAUAUAAAAAACAUGAAGACAGUCGUGAAUGCCAGUAUGUGUAUUGCUGCUCUUCUUUGACAGAUGGAGAAUCAGGAGUCAGCCCCUCAGUGCUGAAUGACGGAACAAAGAAGGAGUCUGUGAAAGGUCUUGAAAGAUAAAAUACAUCACUUAU